UUGAAUUUUAAUGAAGAGUUUGGUUGUAGCUGGCCCAUUCAUUUGGGCAUGUGCACACCUUCCUCUUUCAUCCCACACACACCUGUGAACCUGUGAGACAGAGAUGGGGAAUUUACUUGCUGCUUUUUGGAAUACAAAGGCAAUAGGUUAUUGGACCCUCCCUCUGUCUACUCAAUUAAUAUAAACUCAAUUUAUUUUAAAACGAAUGUAAUGGAUGUAACACAUCUCAUAC
rnacentral:misc_RNA from 1 species